AGUGUUGUUUACUGGGUACAGAGUUUCACUUUUAAAAGAUUGAAAAACAGUUCCUUAUGAACUUGGACAAUGGUUGCAAAACAAUGUGAAUGUAUUUAAUUUCUUUAAACUGCACACAAAAAAAAUAAUAAAAUGGUUAAUUUCAUGUAUUUUUAUAUUUUACUAAAAGGUAAAAACUACUUUCUAAAAUGAACAGACUAUAGCUAUUUGCAACUGGUGGGUGAAUAUCACAAAUGUAAUGUUGCAUAAAAGAAAGCAGACAUGCCAGUUUGGGCAACAUAGUGAAACCCUGUCUCUACCAAAAAUACAAAACAAUUAGCCGGGCAUGGUGGUGCAAGGCUGCGGUCCCAGUGACUCAAAAGGCUGAAGUGGAAGGAUAUCUUAAGCCUGGUAGGCAGAGGUUGCAGUGAGAUCAUGCCACUGCACACCAACCUGGGGAAAAGAAAGAAAGAAAAAAGAAGAGAGAAAGAAAGAAGGAAAGAAAGAGAGAAAGAAAGAAGACAGAAAAGGAAAGAAAGAAAGAAAACAGAAAAGGAAAUAAAGAAAACAGAUGUACAAGUAUACAUACUAUAUAAUUUUGUUUAUAUAAAAUGCUACAAUCAAAUAAAACUGAGGUUCUGACUUCCACUAAGUGUGGACUAGCUUGUUGAACUCUCACAAAUAACAAUGAUGAAACUUGAAUAAAAUAUAUUAUUAUAGAAAAACGCCUAUGCAUAAUACAUAUAUGAUAUGUGUGUUUAACAACUGAAUGAAGAUUUCAGCUAUACCCACUGUAGCGGACAUAAGCAUUGGUUUGACACUAGCCCAAUGAACCCUGUUUAUAAAACAAAAGUCUUCAAGGUAAAACAGCAAAAUCCAGAGUUUCUAUUCUAUAAUUAUCAUUUAUAGUUUCUAGUGCACAAUUUUAAAAUUCAUAAGACUUGUAAAGAAACGUGAAAAUGUCAUCCAUACACAAUAUCAAAAGCAGGCAGUAGAAGCUAUCCCAGGAUGUUGCAAUCAGCAGACAAGAAUUUGAAGGCAGUUUUUAUGAAUAUGUUCAUGGGGAAAAAAGAAAAUAUUCUAUUCAUAAACAAACAGAUGUGGAACUUCAGCAGAGAAAUGAACAUAUAUAUAAAAAAAUUAUAGAUAAGGAAAUGAAAAAAAUCUUUUGAGUUUAGCCAUAGAUUUAAAACAGAAGACACAGCAAUAGAAAUUAUCCAGUCUGGAAAAAAAAAAGUACAAAAAGUUUAAAGGAAAUGAACAGAGCUCUCGAGACCUGUGGAAUGACUGAGUCUAAGGAGAAGGGAGAGACAAAAAAAAAUUAAAUAGGGAACAGAAGUAAAUCAACAACUAAUAGCGGAAUACUUCCAAAAACUGUCCAAAUACCUAAAUAUUUAUAUCCAAAAGGUCAAUAAAUACAAAACAAAAUACAAAUAAAACCACAGCAAGGCCAUAUCGUGGUUUAUGAAACAGGCAAGGCAGGGCUUUUGCUUGACUUGCUGUGAUAUCUAAUUGCUACUAUUUAUGGAUACUAUGGAAAUAAAUACUAAAUAGAAUGGGAGAUAGGUUAUUCUCAGAGUUUUUUUUUUUUUUUUUUUUUUUGCCAAGAUGACUGUUAUUAAAGGUAGAUGACUUUCCAGCAUGUCGAAAGGGGCGUGGCAGGGGAGGGGCGAGGAGAAGGGUCGGGGCUGAGGGAGGGGCCCUGCAAAGGUCUGGGCGCGCCCAGCUCCCCGAGAGCAAGCGUUACAGCAACGCUGGGCAGGCUGUUGGAGGCUCCCGGGCUCUGUCUUGUCAGAGAGAAAUCAAACUUCAGGCACAAAUAGUCGUACAACUGGCACGUGGGGAGACUGUGCCACAAUUACAAGUGAGACCACCUGCCCUGGCCACGCUGUCUCCUCGCACGCAGAAGUCUGGGAACAGAUAGGCUCCCCUCAGCAGGGCGGAAUUGCACUGGAAACAUGGAGGGGCGGAGGAGAAGAUGAAAUUAUCCCCUCAGUGUUGGAACUGUAGUCUCAGAGAAGAUGAAAUUUUCCCCGUAGUGUUGGAACUGUAGUCUCAGAUCCACUCCCAGCCUUUCUGUCGCGGCAGUCGGACUAUGAUCCCAGCAUGCGCUGGGCUUAAGGGAGGUUCCCAGCCCUGGAGGAAGGGUCAACAGGGUGGGUCCCUCGCAAGGCGUCCUGGGAGUCAUAGUCCUUAAACAGUUUCCAGCACGUUGAUCGCAAGGCUACCGAACUACAAUGCCAGCAUGCACCGGGAUUGGGGCGGUGUGUAACGCUGGAGGGAAGGAUAGAGAGGCGCGUCCCUGGCCAGGGAUGCUGGGAGUUAUGGUCUCUUAAUGGUUUCCAGCGAUGGCCCCCGGCCUGCAGACUAAAAUCCCAGCAGCCACCGGGCUUCGAGGCGGUGUGUAGCACUGAAGGGAAGGAUAGGGAGGUGCGUCCUUAGCCAGGCGUGCUGGGAGUUAUGGUCUCUUAACAGUUUCCAGUCAGUUGGUCCCAGGAUUACCUGACUACAAUCCCAGCAUGCGUUGGGCUUGGGGGCGGUGCGCAGCCCUAGAGGAAGGAUCGGGACGGCGGGUACCUCGCAAGGCAUCCUGGGAGUCAUAGUCCUUUCAGUAUUUCCAGCCCAUUGGUCGCGAGGCUAACGGACUACAAUCUCAGCAUGCGCUGGGUUUGGGGGCGGUGUGUAGUAUGGAAGCGAAGGAUAGGGAGGCGCGUCCCUAGCUAGGAGUGCUGGGAGUUUUGGUGUCUUAACGGUUUCCAGCCCAUUGGUCGCCGACCUGCUAACUACAAAACCAGCAUGCGCUGUCUGUCCUCCCCCGUGGUGCGCAGCCCUGGAGGGAGGGACAGGGCGGUGUGGACCUCGUCCUUUCCUAAGCGAUGCCACAUGCUGAUUCUGUGCCACCCCCUCGCCAAGGGAGUCCGCAGAAGGACUUGAGGGGCAGGUCUAGGCUGGGCGAUGAGGACGGUGUGACCCUGCGAAGUGCACCUCCCUUGCUCAAAUCGGAGGUGUCUGGUCCUCACUGCACAGCCCACUGCACAUCUCGGUGUCCUCUCACAUACACACCCGCGGGGGUUUCCAGAGCAUCGCACCUCUUCCAGCCCAGGGAGCCGCCUGCUCUGCUAAACUCUAUGGGAACUGAGACAUCCACCUGCUGCGUGACCCACCCGUGCGCAACUUCAGAGCUUUCAGGGGGUGAUGCGGGCUGUGGCUCCUUCGUGAAAAUGUCACCGUCUGCAGCGCCUUUCUUGUGAUAUAGAACUUGACGGGUUCCUGCGAAUGAAGUUGCAAAUAUUGAUGAAGAUAAUACUACUGCCUUGCUGUCAAACAGUAACAGUCACCUUUUUUUGUAUCUCCAAUUAUAAAUGCAAUGCGUACUGUAAAAAGAAAAGAAAACAUCAUAAAUAUCUUUAUAAAGUAAAA